rnacentral:lncRNA from 1 species
UGGCACAUUUAGUGGAGGCCAUAUGGCUAGUUGCCAUUGAUCGACUUUAUUAUCCAGCAAUGGUUGGAUCCGACGCAUAUCCUCAACUAUGGCUUAGUAUAAAAUGAAUAAUAAUCUUGAUGAGUUUUCUUUUUGAUAUUUGCUUCUUAAAGAAUUCCCAUAUUACUUUAUAAACUUCUUAAGAGAAGGUUUCAUGUUACAUAACCAUGAAAAAAAGCAUUUAUGCUCUUACUUCAUUGGGUAAUCAACAUACUGGCCC